rnacentral:rRNA from 1 species
UUCCUACGGGAGGCAGCAGUGAGGAAUAUUGGGCAAUGGGCGCAAGCCUGACCCAGCAAUGCCGCGUGCGGGACGAAGGUCUUCGGAUCGUAAACCGCUUUUGUGGGGGAGUAGCAAGGAGAGUACCCCACGAAUAAGUCACGGCUAACUACGUGCCAGCAGCCGCGGUAAUACGUAGGUGACAAAUGUUAUCCGGAAUUACUGGGCGUAAAGGGUCCGCAGGCGGCUUUUUAGGUCUGAUGUGACACCUCGCGGCUUAACUGCGAGAGCGCAUUGGAAACCGGAAGGCUGGAAUCACGUUGAGGUCGGUGGAAUUCCCGGUGUAGUGGUGGAAUGCGUAGAGAUCGGGAGGAACCUCGAAAGCGAAGGCAGCCGGCUAAACGAUGAUUGACGCUGAGGGACGAUAGCGUGGGUAGCAAACAGGAUUAGAUACCCUGGUAGUCCACGCCGUAAACGAUGUGUGCUCGGUGUGUGUGGGUAAAACCAUGCGCGCCUUAGCCAACGCGAUAAGCACACCGCCUGGGGAGUACGGCCGCAAGGCUAAAACUCAAAGGAAUUGACGGGGACCCGCACAAGCAGCGGAGCGUGUGGUUUAAUUCGAUGCGACGCGAAGAACCUUACCUGGGUUUGACAUGCUUCUGGUAGCGACCUGAAAGGGGAGCGACCCGCAAGGGAGGAAGCACAGGUGCUGCAUGGCUGUCGUCAGCUCGUGUCGUGAGAUGUUGGGUUAAGUCCCGCGACGAGCGCAACCCUCGGCGUAUGUUUUACAUGUCAUACGCAACUGCCCUCCAGAAGAGGGAGGAAGGUGGGGAUGACGUCAAGUCAGCAUGGCCUUUAUAUCCAGGGCGACACACACGCUACAAUGGCGCGUACAAUGGGCGGCAAGUGGGCGACCACAAGCAAAUCUCACAAAGCGCGUCUUAGUUCGGAUUGGAGUCUGCAACUCGACUCCAUGAAGGCGGAGUUGCUAGUAACCGCGCGUCAGCCAUAGUGCGGUGAAUGCGUUCCCGGGCCUUGUACACACCGCCAA